rnacentral:rRNA from 1 species
ACCUACGGGGGGCAGCAGUGGGGGAUAUUGGACAAUGGGGGGAACCCUGAUCCAGCGACGCCGCGUGAGUGAAGAAGUAUUUCGGUAUGUAAAGCUCUGUCAGCAGGGAAGAAAGCAAUGACGGUACCUGACCAAGAAGCCCCGGCUAACUACGUGCCAGCAGCCGCGGUAAUACGUAGGGGGCAAGCGUUAUCCGGAAUUACUGGGUGUAAAGGGAGCGUAGACGGCUGUGCAAGUCUGGAGUGAAAGGCGGGGGCCCAACCCCCGGACUGCAUUGGAAACUACCGAACUAGAGUGUCGGAGAG